AAUGACUGAACAGUAUAUGAGUGUGUUAGUCCUAGCCCAUGUAGACUAACGGGUCAUUGAUAAUGACUGAACAGUAUAUGAGUGUGUUAGUCCUAGCCCAUGUAGACUAACGGGUUAUUGAUAAUGACUGAACAGUAUAUGAGUGGGUUAACGACACCUCUGAGUGUGUUAGUCCUAGCCCAUGUAGACUAACGGGUCAUUGAUAAUGACUGAACAGUAUAUGAGUGUGUUAGUCCUAGCCCAUGUAGACUAACGGGUCAUUGAUAAUGACUGAACAGUAUAUGAGUGUGUUAGUCCUAGCCCAUGUAGAUUAACAGGUCAUUGAUAAUGACUGAACAGUAUAUGAGUGGGUUAACGAUGCUUCGGAGUGUGUUAGUCCUAGCCCAUGUAGACUAACAGGUCAUUGAUAAUGACUGAACAGUAUAUGAGUGGGUUAACGAUGCCUCUGAGUGUGUUAGUUCCCAACCUGAUAUAGUUCCACCAUCUUCUACCCUUGAUUUGGCAGUGCCUUCUGGAUUGCCAGGUAGCCUAGUGGGGCAGCAGGUAGCCUAGUGGUUAGAGUGUUGGACGAGUAACCGAAAGGUUACAAGAUUGAAUCCCCGAGCUGAUAAGGUAAAUAUGUGUCAUUCUGACCCUAAACAAGGCAGUUAACCCACUGUUCCUAGGCAGUCAUUGAAAAUAAGAUGUUGCCUGGUUAAAUAAAGCCAUAUCAUUUUCCUCAGGCCAAAAGCAAGGUGAAAUUCUGCCAUUCAUUUGGAAUAUGAUCACAGAGCCACAAGGGGUGCAUUUUAAAAAGGGCAAUUCUAGGAAUAUCACAAAACCAGAAGUGUAGUGUUACACAUGCCUUCAUCCACUCAGGACCCUAACUGAACUAUGCUUUAAAACACAGCAACUCAAUGUUUUUUUUAUUGGGAGCAGUGGGUUAGGGGAGGGCCUAGGGCUGUGCUGUCAAUCAGAGGAGUUGCAAAGACCUCUCCGUCCACCAUUUACAGAACUAUUUCUCCCCACCACACGGCUGCCUCGGGAUGGGUUUCAGUCUCCCCACCACAAGGCUGCCUCGGGAUGGGUUUCAGUCUCCCCACCACACGGCUGCCUCGGGAUGGGUUUCAGUCUCCCCACCACACGGCUGCCUCGGGAUGGGUUUCAGUCUCCCCACCACACGGCUGCCUCGGGAUGGGUUUCAGUCUCCCCACCACACGGCUGCCUCGGGCAUGGGUUUCAGUCUCCCCACCACA